UAAGUAGAUCCCAUAGAGAUAAAUCAAGAGUCAUGAGAUUUGAAUGUUCACCAAAAGGAUAAGAUACGAUAGUACUCUUCUCAGCGAAAAGGCAGAUAGCAUUAACACCUGCCCCACUGUCGAUUACAUCCUUGCUGCAUGCACAGAAUAGCAAGGAACCAACAGGAGCAUCUCAUGGGCGUUUACUUAAUAAAAUAAACAAGUACUAGUUGCUUCACUAACUAGCAGAUAUCACGAAUUCUACACUGCUAGUGCUCCCAUGGUGAGAAAAGAAGGAAAUAUCCAUCAGUGCUACUCUGUCGUUGGCUGUAACAUGCAAGUAUCAGGAAAGGAAGUGGCCACGUUUGCUGCAUGAGGUUCAAUCCAAGAAAAUUUGAGAGCAAUCACUUGGAAAGAAAAGAAAAACAGAGCAAGAGGGUCAACCUUGUUCUUUGGGGAAUCAUGGUGCGUGGGGCGGACGACCUCGCUGUCGAACUCGUCCAGCUCGUCGGGCUCGAGCGUGGGGUCCCGUUCGUCCUUCCAUGGAACUUGAGAGGCAGAGAGCUUCUGUUGAUCUGAAUCGACUCAAAAAA
rnacentral:lncRNA from 1 species